AAAAAACAAAGAAUCAAAGAUUCACCAAGAUCACUGAUCUCACACAUAAAAACCAAGGCAAACCCCACACAAACAUUACGACACGAGUUGUCCAUUCUACAAACCAAACUCAGGGACAUAGAACAAGCCAAAACUACCCACAUGCUUCAGCGAUAUAAACACAAUUUCUUUUCACAAGGGAACAGAGCAGGAGCUCUAUUAGCAGUAAGACUAAAAG